rnacentral:rRNA from 1 species
GACAGAGGCCCCGAGCGUUAAUCGGAAUCACUGGGCUUAAAGGGUGCGUAGGCCGGCCCGCAAGUGCUUUGUGAAAUCCCCCGGCUCAACCGGGGAACAGCGGGGCAUACUGCGGGUCUUGAGGAAGGUAGGGGCUGCCGGAACUGUAGGUGGAGCGGUGAAAUGCGUAGAUAUCUACAGGAACGCCGAUGGUGAAGACGGGCAGCUGGGCCUUUCCUGACGCUGAGGCACGAAAGCGUGGGGAG